GCUCCUAAAGGAUAAUAGCUCAUCCACUGGUCUUAGGAACCAAAAACUCUUGGUGCAA
rnacentral:tRNA from 1 species